CCUACGGGAGGCAGCAGUGAGGAAUAUUGGUCAAUGGACGCAAGUCUGAACCAGCCAUGCCGCGUGCAGGAAGACGGCUCUAUGAGUUGUAAACUGCUUUUGUACGAGGGUAAACGCAGAUACGCGUAUCUGUCUGAAAGUAUCGUACGAAUAAGGAUCGGCUAACUCCGUGCCAGCAGCCGCGGUAAUACGGAGGAUUCAAGCGUUAUCCGGAUUUAUUGGGUUUAAAGGGUGCGUAGGCGGUCGGAUAAGUUAGAGGUGAAAUCCCGAGGCUCAACUUCGGAAUUGCCUCUGAUACUGUUCGGCUAGAGAGUAGUUGCGGUAGGCGGAAUGUAUGGUGUAGCGGUGAAAUGCUUAGAGAUCAUACAGAACACCGAUUGCGAAGGCAGCUUACCAAACUAUAUCUGACGUUGAGGCACGAAAGCGUGGGUAGCAAACAGGAUUAGAUACCCUUGUAGUC
rnacentral:rRNA from 1 species